rnacentral:misc_RNA from 1 species
GAAAUGCGAUAAGUAAUGUGAAUUGCAGAAUUCAGUGAAUCAUCGAAUCUUUGAACGCACAUUGCGCCCCCCAGUAUUCUGGCGGGCAUGCCUGUCCGAGCGUCAUUUCAACCAUCAAGCCCCCGGGCUUGUGUUGGGGACCUGCGGCUGCCCGCAGGCCCUGAAAACCAGUGGCGGGCUCGCUGUCACACCGAGCGUAGUAGCAAUCACCUCGCUCAGGGCGUGCUGCGGGUUCCGGCCGUUAAACAGCCUUACAAAACCCAAGGUUGACCUCGGAUCAGGUAGGAAGACCCGCUGAACUUAAGC